rnacentral:rRNA from 1 species
UUUACUACUUUGCCGGCGAGCGGCGGACGGGUGAGUAAUGUCUGGGGAUCUGCCUGAUGGAGGGGGAUAACUACUGGAAACGGUAGCUAAUACCGCAUGACCUCGUAAGAGCAAAGUGGGGGACCUUCGGGCCUCACGCCAUCGGAUGAACCCAGAUGGGAUUAGCUAGUAGGUGGGGUAAUGGCUCACCUAGGCGACGAUCCCUAGCUGGUCUGAGAGGAUGACCAGCCACACUGGAACUGAGACACGGUCCAGACUCCUACGGGAGGCAGCAGUGGGGAAUAUUGCACAAUGGGCGCAAGCCUGAUGCAGCCAUGCCGCGUGUGUGAAGAAGGCCUUCGGGUUGUAAAGCACUUUCAGCGAGGAGGAAGGCAGUCGUGUUAAUAGCACGAUUGAUUGACGUUACUCGCAGAAGAAGCACCGGCUAACUCCG